GAGGUGCUCUCUGUGGAUUUUCCACUUCCGUGCUUCCAAAGUUAGGACGCAGCUCUAUAGUUGAUAACAGCCCACAGCUUCACCAAAAUAGAAUGAACAAAUGCUUAUUGACCUUCUAUAGCAAAACAAAGCAAAGUUUGUUUGUUUUUUUUUUUUUUGUUUUUUUUUUAGAGAAAACAAACCAAAAUAAUCCUAUUGACAAUACACCUUUUCCUGUUAGGUACCAAGCUUUUAAAAUAAUGUAAAUGUGAUGGCAGAUUUUCUAGAACAUUCAGCCUCAGCUGUAACACUUAGCUUACUGGUUAGAUUACUGGUUGCUGAAAUAUGAAUGUAAAAACACCUGACUCACCAAAUUAUUUCCUAGAAUAGCUAACUAGGUGGAGGCUCACCAAGUUAAUAACUAAACUCAACCUUCAGGUCUAUUGGCACAGGGCAUAUUUAAGCUUAAUAACUCUGUAUCCACCCAGAAAGAUAAAGGAGGCUUUGAUAUGCUGCUCAGUUCACUGGGAAGAGAAAAAUGACUCACUGGACAUCUGGCACACCGAAUGAGUAGCCUGCACUGGAAAUAUUUUGAAAGGUGUGUUGAGAUACUAAACCAGUAUUUCAGAGAAUGCCUCACAUUGAGCCUCAGGCAGAUGGUGAAUCAAGAAAUAAGGCUUUUAAAAGCCAGAAAAUCUUGUGCAAGAGAAACAGAAGACAGAGCAAAUAGUCUUUGCAUUACGAACAUGUGAGUCACGAGUUAUACUGCUUCAGAGAAAGAAAAGAGAUGGUACGCCUGUGUGGUCUUACCAAGAACUCUUUCUUGAAUGACCAUUGAUUUUAAAAAACAUCGGCCUGGUUUGAUUUGAGAAUGUCAAAUGGAGAGAGAAGGAACUUGAAGAUUUGCUGUUGCUAAAAACAAAUCUGGGGCUGGAGAUUUAGCUCAGCGGCAUAAGCACCUGCCUUGCAAGCGCGUGGUCGUGAGUUCAAUCCCUGGUACCGAUAAAAAAAAAUAAAUAAAUAAAAAAUAAUUUUUAAAAA